rnacentral:tRNA from 1 species
GGAGGGUACAACUCAGGUAGAGAGCGUGCUUAGCAUGCACGAGGUCCUGGGUUCAAUCCCCAGGACCUCCA